AAGGGAGAAAGUAAUCUUGGGAGAGUGCUAAUUUUUCUAAGCCAUGGUUAGACUCCGUGGGUCCCUUG
rnacentral:tRNA from 2 species